AUGGUACUCCCUCCGUCUCAAAAUUCUUGUCUUACAUUUGCCUAAAUACGGAUGUAUCUAGUUACGUUUUAGUGUUAGAUACAUCCAUAUCUAGACAAAUCUAAGACAAGAAUUUUGGGACGGAGGGGGUACUAA
rfam:Triticum aestivum genome assembly, contig: Triticum_aestivum_CS42_TGACv1_scaffold_210540_3AS